rnacentral:lncRNA from 1 species
UUUAAACCGUGAAAGAUGCUUAUUUGUGAUGUGCCUUUACCGUAAGAAUCCGUGAAAUUGAAUUAUCUUUGCCGGCGUUGUUCAAUUUUCUCCGUCUUCUACCAACCCGUAAACCGACCACACCGUCCCCUCCGUUUUCUUCCGGCGUCGUCUUCGCUGCGAAACGGGUAAUCAUUUAUGUUUUAUGCAUUCCCUCGUUUCGUGAAGCUCUGCUUUUUGUUUGAAUCAAAGCGAUAGAGCGAGUUAGUGAUGAGAUAGUAGGACUCGAAGUAUUCUGCAUCCCAAUUGUUGUUUAUGUUUUUUCAGGCUUUAGUGAUGAGACUUUCUUUUGGUUUGUUUUUGCAUUUUCUUGGGAAUUAUCGAGAGUGCUUCCGAUGAAUCUUAGAUUGAUUAAAAUUCUGAUUUCUUCGUCCUUAUAGUUGUUAUCUUGUUGUAUCACAGAGAAGAAGAAGCUUUCAACUGAGUUGCUGGAAAGUGUUGUUUAUAACUCUCUAACAAAAAAAAAAAAAAUUUAUUCUGAUGAACCUAACAAGGGUUCAGGGUUGGAGUUACAAAUUUGGUUAGAAAUCAUCACUGUUAAAAAAAAAAACAAUUAUUAAAAAUAUCCUAUGAACCCCAGUGAGGAUAUCAGGGAUGGAGAUGCCCUAACACCUGUUAAAAAUUAAAACACCUUGAUAAUUGAUGUGUCUAUAAAAAAAGUAACACCUGGGUAUGUCUAUAAAAGUUAACAGAAAAAAUAGUACAUAUAAAAAUAGAGUGAAUAUUUAAUAUGUAGUACAGUGAAAACAUGAUAAUACAGUGGGUUCCACGUCUUAUUUUUCAAAACAAAUAAUUGUAAGCAAAGCACUUCGUCACAAAUGAUGUCUUUUCUUAACCACAAAGAAUUGUUUAAUGGCUAAUCGUCGAUCAUGUUCAAAAUCCGAACAUGUUAAUCUACCCCUCAGUAUAUUAAUAUAUGCAUAAUGGUAUGAAUAAUAAUCGGUUCUAUUAAAAUAAAAUAUUUGUAAACAGAAAUUAUGACUUGUAACUUUACUCAAAAUGUAGUGUCUCUAAGAAAGUAUGUUAGGAGUUAGGACCUUAGGUAGUGAACAAAAAUAAUAAAUCAGAGAAAAAACUUUAUCAUUAAUUUUGUAAUCUACUACAACUGGUUCAUGUUGGCAUGUUGCAACAUAUCAUUUGAUUACUUUCUUCCUCAAUUUUUGUUUUUGGGUAGUGUCGUUGUUUUACAUAAAUUGGAUUGCUAAUCUUUUUUUGUUUGCCAACAAAACUAGAUUGCUAAUCAAAUAUCAAAGUAUGCAUUAACAAUACAGACACACUAAAGACAUCAGUUGACAAAUUAAAAAUCUUUAAAUUUGGUAAUACCAAAAAGAAUAUGAGCUAUUCUGCCUCAACACUAAACAACUUACAUCUUUACAAUUUAUCGCAUAAUUAUUGAGAAUGUACUAUAUAAGGCUUUGAUCAAUUUAACGACGACAUAAACAGCGUUUAAACAAAAUUCAAAGAUCGUAAUUCGUAACUCCUUAAAUUGCAAAGACAAACACAACCGAAUUGACAAAAUAACAAGAAUCAAGAAAAAACAUAAAUGGGAAAAAAAGAGAACCAAAAAACCCUAAAUAAUAAAGAAGAAGCCGAUAUAACACCUUGGUAGGUUCGAAGAUGAUCGAGCCUAUCCGCCGUUCCAUGACUUGCCGGUUCAACCCCACCGCUUUAACCGGGCCGGUUUGAAGAAUCAUCAUAACUACCGGUUAUUAUUAUUUGCAGGGAGUGAACAUUUUUUUAAGUUACGUGGUGAAAACCCUCCGGUCCACCUUGAAGCUUCUAUGGAAGCUCAGCUCAAGCUCCCCAUUUGGUUCCAACCUCUUAAUUUUGAUCCAUCUAGGGAGAUCUUGAUUAAACUUCCAUGGCUAAAAAUGGGGAGAGAGAGUUUUUGUCUUUCUACUUCUUGUCUUUAUAUAGGCAAUGAUUUUUUCAUUAAUUAUUUAGACUAGGAAAGAGUGAGAAACUCACACCAAAAAGCAUUGAUAAUCGAAUGCAUAUGAUGUAAAAACCAAAUUUAUAAUUAAAAUAACUAAAUGAUAACCAAAUUUACAACAAAAUCUAAACACUGCAAUCUUAUGAAAAUGGAAUGUUUUGAUCAAAUAAAAGAAUUGCGUAU